GCCUUUUCUUCUCCAGAGUCGAAGGAUUUUUAUAAAAUCCUUGCAGCAAUUGAAUGACAGUGACAUCACUAAUAGCAGCAAUACAUUAAAGCUGGCACAUCCCUACCAGAGACCAAGAAGAUUUCUCCCUGCUGGGUGACCUCGCUCCACUAACAAUCGGAGAGAAUUAGUCUCAAGGGAAUGCUUUGCUUAUGGAUUUAUAAAGGUUGACAAUAAUCCUAAAUGGAUGUUAGAGGAAUUGACAAAUCUCAGCAUUUUUCCCAUCCGGACAUGCGUGCCUGGGGGAACGGUAGAGGCCGCAGCAUUCAUUAAGAAGAGACAAGCCAUUGACAGUCGACAGAGGAACAGAAAUAUGCAGAGAGGAUGCCUUCUGCUCCAGCAACAGCUGUGCUCUCCGGUGAUGAUGGAACUUCUCUAGUUCAAGGAGGCUUCCUCCCAAGUCAGUGACUGGCCCAAUACGCAACAAGGUUUAUAAGCCAUAGUGGGUUAGCAUGUCAUGCCAGCCUGCAGUGGGUUUGUCACUGCAGUGUCCCUGCCACAACCACUUCCCAGUUUGCUACAGCUUUUUAAAUUGUUCAAAUGCUUUUUCUUCUCCUUCAAGCUGCAAAAAUUGGAUGUCAAAUAUUUUCACAGUCCCCCGUUUGGUAGCCACAAGCUCUCCCUACAUGGCGCCUCAGUGGUACUUAGAGGGGCCACCCACAGUUGCUAUUUUUUAAAAAAGCUGUCCCCCUAAAUUUAUAGUUUUGAAAAAUAUAUUGCUGCACUUGCACAACUGCAGAUGAGAGUAGUUACAUGGGGGUGGCCAUGGGGAACAUGGUGUUGGUAAUUUUAUUUAUCUAUUUAUUUAUUUUUCCAUUUAUAUCCUGCCUUUUUCCUACAAAGGGCUCAAGGCAGCUUACAUCUCCUCCUCCAUCUUAAUGGGCAGGGUGGGACUGCUGGCAAAUUCCAGUGCACACCCAGGGGUACAGGCAAGUAAAUUCCUGCUUGUGCCCCAAAUUUUGCAGGAGCCUUUGCAGUACUAGCAUCACAGAAACAUGCAAAACACCCGAGGUCCUCAGUUACGGGUGGCAGGGGGGAUUCCUCUUUGACAGGUCUCCCUCUCUUCUGUGCCACAUUUCAUGGCUUGCUGCACAGUAUGGAACGUUUUGUCAUGUGAGCCUGGCCAGUGUGUCCAGGAUUGCAGCCUCGUUUCUCUUCUUAUUCACUGCCAAUUCAUUUUAUUAAUAGAAAUUUAAAGGCAUGAUUAAAGCAAACAAGGGAAGGCUUGUGUGACAAAAGGUAGGAAUGUGGACAUGUUUGAACUUCCGCUCAAAUUCUCCCAGAGGGGCUUUUUUCCUCUCCCCUGUUGAAAUGAGUGAUUCCAGUUUUGCUGCUCUGUACCUGGGCUUGGUGUCAGGGUGUGAAGAACACAUUUUAUUCAGUGGGAGAAAAACUCACUGCUAAUCUGUAAGCUGGCAUGAACACACCAACUGUUUCCUUUCUCUAUUGUUGUCUGAACAAGUUCUUGUCAUACAAACAGCUGCUUAACCUCCUGUGAUGUUUAUGAUUCUGGGUAAUCUGAUGUCAUAUUCCUCUGUAUAUGCAGAUGACAAAUUUAGGGACUGAAUCCUUUAUUUAAGAAAAUCUAUAGGAGGAUUUAGGGAACUUUGAUUCCAAAUUAUCUGCGCACCCCUAUCAGUCACAGCAGAAGCCGAAAUCAGAUUCAUAGUCAGCUGUGACCUAUUUUAUUAAUCAACCUCUUCUGCAUUUUUGGUGGUAGAAUGCUAUUUUAAUUAACAGUGCCUCCUCUCCCGAUAUUGAUAUUGGAUGGUCAACAUGCAAUGCAAUGGAACCUUUGGUUGGGUUGUGUUAUAACGUUUUUAUCAUAACAUUUGUUGACUGACAGGCAACGUAGUAUUUGACCAAAUUGGAUGGAAACAUGCAAUGGUGAUUAAUAUUGGAUAGCUAAAAAAAUGAGAUUUCAAAUAUGAGUCCGGAAAAAAUUAGAAUAUUCAAGAGAUGCCAGCAAUUUCAAAACAUUCCAAUUUUUCAGUUAAAAUGUCUAGUCAUGGACUCUCUGGCCAACCUACCUCACAGGGUUGUUGUGAGGAUGAUAUGGAUAUAAGCCACCUUGGGUACCAUGUAAGAGAAAAUAAGUCAGGGCAUAAAUGUAAUGCAACCAUAAUAAACACAAUAUGACAC